rnacentral:rRNA from 1 species
GACGAACGCUGGCGGCGUGCUUAACACAUGCAAGUCGAGCGGAGCGGCGAACGGGUGAGUAACGCGUGAGUAACUGCCCCCCUCUCUGGGCUAACAGUUGGAAACGGCUGCUAAUACCGGAUAGUGGGGGAUGACUCGCGUCCUAUCAGCUUGUUGGUGGGGUAGGGGCCUACCAAGGCGACGACGGGUAGCCGGCCUGGGAGGGCGACCGGCCACAUUGGGCUGAGGACCGGGCCAAGCUCCUUCGGGAGGGCGCAGUGGGGAAUUAUGCCCAAUUGGGGAAACCCUGAUGCAGCAACGCGCGUGCGGGAUGACGGCCUUCGGGUUGUAAACCGCUUUCAGCCAUGACGCGGUAGUGGCAGAAGAAGCACCGGCUAACUACGUGCCAGCAGCCGCGGUAAUUC